ACUCUGCUGGGCACAGACACACACACACACCCAGAUGUAACCGUGGUACCGAUUGAUUACAGUCCCCAGGUGAUGGUUUGUGAUCCUCACACAUUUGAUGAGGUGAAGAAAUGAAGCGCAUACAUAUAUACAGUAUAUAUAUAUAUAUAUAUAAGCUAGAUAGAUAGAUAGAUAUAUGAUGAUAUAUAUAUAUACAUAUAUAUAUAUAUAUAUAUAGAGGAGGAAGAGACCUGAUGAAGGCUCUGAGCUCUGUUCCCUCAAAACAUGGUCACCAGACGUCAAAAUGAAGCUGACCUCUGACACUGGAGCAGAUUACUGCUUCUCCUUUUGUCUUCAAAGCAAAGGAGCAAAUAGAACACCAGCAUCUUUUUAAGGAAGACAGACUGGUUCAGUGAUUACGGAGAAUUAGCCUCAUGUGACCUCUUAAGUCCACACUAGUUCACCUCUUCUUCACCCGUAACUACUAAGAUUUAUUUGACCGAUGGAAGAAGCAUCGAGAUCCGUUUAUCAAUAUUUUAUAUUAACAUUAUUAAUAUAUCAGUCUGAUGAUAACAAGCCUCCGAGGACCUGAAUCAAUACUUACAGGGUUUCAGGGAAGAGGAGGAUACAAGUCUAGAGUCUAAAAGCCUAGAGUCUACUGGUUCUGAGUCUACACUUCUGUCUAGAGCCUACAAGUAUAAGACCUACAAGUCUGGAGCCUACAAGUCUAGAGCCUACAAGUAUAAGACCUACAAGUCUGGAGCCUACAGGUCUAGAGCCUACAAGUCUAGGACCUAAAAAUCUAACACCUACAAGUCCAAGACCUACAAAUAUAGAGCCUACAAGUCUAGAGCCUACAGGUCUAGAGCCUACAAGUCUAGGACCUAAAAAUCUAACACCUACAAGUCCAAGACCUACAAAUAUAGAGCCUACAAGUCUAGAGCCUACAAAUCUAGAGCCUACAAGUAUAGAACCUACAAGUCUAGAGCCUACAAGAAUAGAGCCUACAAUCUAGAGCCUACAAGUCUAGAACCUACAAGGCUAGAGUCUACAAGUCUAGAGCCUACAAGUCUAGACCCUACAAAUCUAGAGCCUACAAGACUAGAGCCUACAAGUCUAGAGCCUACAAACUAGAGCCUACAAGUCUAGAGCCUACAAGUCUAGACCCUACAAAUCUAGAGCCUACAAGUCUAGAGCCUACAAGUCUAGAGCCUACAAACUAGAGCCUACAAGUCUAGAACCUACAAGGAUAGAGUCUACAAGUCUAGAGCCUACAAGUCUAGAGCCUACAAAUCUAGAGCCUACAAGACUAGAGCCUACAAAUCUAGAGCGUACAAGUCAAGGACCAACAAGUCUAGAGCCAUCAAGUCUAAAACCCACAAGUCUAAAACCUACAGGUCUAGAGCCUACAAGUCUUGGACCUACAAGUCUAGGACCUACAAGUCUAGAGCCUACAAGUCUAGAGCCUACAAGUCUAGGACCUACAAGUCUAGAACCUACAAGUCUAGGACCUACAAGUCUAGGACCUACAAGUCUAGAGCCUACAAGUCUAGGACCUACAAGUGGAGCCUGCAGGUCUAGAGGUCUGACAGUCUUUGACGGAUUAAUACUGAGAUAAUAAUUUGUUGUCUGGCGGGAACAGCAGGAAUCCAGCGAUAAUAUAAUAAUGAGUAUAAUAACAACUGGAUCUACUGUUUAAGAGUCACAUGAUCUGAACAAAGAAUAAUAAUGCAGGUAUAAAUAAGGGAGGACGUGGUAAGAAAUAAAGCGUCGCGUUACACAUGCUGACUUCCCUCCACAUGAAUUAUUGAGCGACUCCUCUGCUUUGUCGACUACUACACAUCCAAGUGAGCAGAAUGCACCAUUCAUAAAAACAACGCACACACACACACACACACACACACACACCUGGAGUGGAACAAUGGUGUUGUAUAAAAGAAAUAAAUAAAGAGCACAUGCUUCCUCUGGUUCUGCAGCUACAGACUCACAUGAAGGAGAUCAAUGCUUUUCUGCAGGUCUGUGUACUUACCGUCUGAAGCUGUGUGUGUGAGUGUGUGUGAGUGUGUGUGUGUGUGAGAGAGCCCUCGCUCUGGCUAUUGUUAUGAGGAGAAGGAAGCCGCACUGAGCAUGCUCAGACGUGAGCAACCCUUGUGGUUGGCAUAGCAACCAGAAAGCGGCAGCAGACGGAGCAAAGGGCAGCAGGUGCUUCUGCUGCAUCGUCGCGCUCCAAACUUGAUUAAUCCCCGAAUCCGGACUACGAGGCGGAGCCUCAACGAGACCCGGAUCGUGAAGCGAUCAAAUGGGACUUUGGGCGACAUAUAAAACGUUUGUGAGUCGUUUCUUGGAGAUGACUUGGUGAAAGUCAAAGCGUGACCAGCAGGGGGCGACUCCUCUGCUCCCAUAGACGUCUAUGAGGAAAUGACUCUACUUCUCUGUAGUGACCAGCAGGGGGCGACUCCUC
ensembl:lncRNA